AAAAAGGGUCGGUUGGCUAAAUAUGCCACGCUCGUCCUCGUUUGGCGAGUGCUGUAUGGCUAUCAAGACAUAUGGCCGACAUAAUUUGUGGAACCUUCAUAGGGUUGGCUCGCGUGGCCGACCCUCCG